rnacentral:rRNA from 1 species
CAGCCGCCGCGGGAAAACGGAGGGUGCAAGCGUUAAUCGGAUUUACUGGGCGUAAAGCGUGCGUAGGCGGCUUCUUAAGUCGGAUGUGAAAUCCCUGAGCUUAACUUAGGAAUUGCAUUCGAUACUGGGAAGCUAGAGUAUGGGAGAGGAUGGUAGAAUUCCAGGUGUAGCGGUGAAAUGCGUAGAGAUCUGGAGGAAUACCGAUGGCGAAGGCAGCCAUCUGGCCUAAUACUGACGCUGAGGUACGAAAGCAUGGGGAGCAAACAGGAUUAGAUACCCCCGUAGUCCCUGUCUCUUAUAA